rnacentral:rRNA from 1 species
AUUGAACGCUGGCGGCAGGCCUAACACAUGCAAGUCGAACGAGUGGCGGACGGGUGAGUAAUGUCUGGGACACUGCCUGAUGGAGGGGGAUAACUACUGGAAACGGUAGCUAAUACCGCAUACCAUCAGAUGGGCCCAGCUUGGAUUAGCUUGUUGGUGGGGUAACGGAGCACCAAGGAGACGAUCCAUAGCUGGUCUGAGAGGAUUACCAGCCACACUGGAACUGAGACACGGUCCAGACGCCUACGGGAGGCAGCAGUGGGGAAUAUUGCACAAUGGGCGCAAGCCUGAUGCAGCCAUGCCGCGUGUAUGAAGAAGGCCUUCGGGUUGUAAAGUACUUUCAGUUGGGAGGCGUUACCCACAGAAGAAGCACCGGCUAACUCCGUGCCAGCAGCCGCGGUAAUAC